rnacentral:rRNA from 1 species
AGUGAACGCUGGCGGCGUGCUUAACACAUGCAAGUCGAACGAGAACGGAAUAUAGCUUGCUAUAUUUGUCAGCUAAGUGGCGCACGGGUGAGUAAUGUAUAGAUAACCCGCCCUUAAGAAAGGAAUAACAGUUGGAAACGACUGCUAAUGCCCUAUAUGCCUUUAAUACAUAAGUAUGCAAGGGAAACGCUUUAGUGCUUAAGGAUGGGUCUGUAUGGUAUCAGCUUGUUGGUGAGGUAAUGGCUCACCAAGGCUAUGACGCCUAACUGGUUUGAGAGGAUGAUCAGUCACACUGGAACUGAGACACGGUCCAGACUCCUACGGGAGGCAGCAGUGGGGAAUAUUGCACAAUGGACGAAAGUCUGAUGCAGCAACGCCGCGUGGAGGAUGACACAUUUCGGUGCGUAAACUCCUUUUAUAUAGGAAGAUAAUGACGGUACUAUAUGAAUAAGCACCGGCUAACUCCGUGCCAGCAGCCGCGGUAAGAC